rnacentral:snoRNA from 1 species
AAGACUAGACUUCAUUCAGGGAGCAUUUCUAUAGUGUUUCUACUGGAGAAAUGUGUUUUCUAAAGUGUUUGGUCUAGCCAACCACGAUGAUGAG